rnacentral:rRNA from 1 species
UCGCACGGGGGUUUCGGCCUCCAGUGGCGGACGGGUGAGUAACGCGUAGGAAUCUGCCCUGGAGUGGGGGACAACCUGGGGAAACUCAGGCUAAUACCGCAUGCGCUCGGGAGAGGAAAGCGGGGGACCUUCGGGCCUCGCGCUGCAGGAGGAGCCUACGUCCGAUUAGCUGGUUGGUGGGGUAAGGGCCCACCAAGGCGACGAUCGGUAGCUGGUCUGAGAGGACGAUCAGCCACACUGGGACUGAGACACGGCCCAGACUCCUACGGGAGGCAGCAGUGGGGAAUAUUGGACAAUGGGCGCAAGCCUGAUCCAGCAAUGCCGCGUGGGUGAAGACGGCCUGCGGGUUGUAAAGCCCUUUGGGUGGGGAAGAACGGCGGGCGGCGAACAGCGGCCUGUUUUGACAUUACCCACGGAACAAGCACCGGCUAACUCCGUGCCAGCAGCCGCGGUAAUACGGAGGGUGCGAGCGUUAAUCGGAAUUCUGGGCGUAAAGCGUGCGUAGGCGGAUGGGUCAGUCAGCCGUGAAAGCCCCGGGCUCAACCUGGGAACGGCGGUUGAGACGGCCCGUCUGGAGU